UACGUAGGGCGCAAGCGUUAUCCGGAAUUAUUGGGCGUAAGGAGCUCGUAGGCGGUUUGUCGCGUCUGCCGUGAAAGUCCGGGGCUCAACUCCGGAUCUGCGGUGGGUACGGGCAGACUAGAGUGAUGUAGGGGAGACUGGAAUUCCUGGUGUAGCGGUGGAAUGCGCAGAUAUCAGGAGGAACACCUAUAGCGAAGGCAGCUUGCUGGGACGUUACUGACGCUAAGGCGCGAAAGCGUGGGGAGCGAACAGG
rnacentral:rRNA from 1 species